rnacentral:rRNA from 1 species
AUGAACGCUGGCGGCGUGCCUAAUACAUGCCAGUCGAGCGAACAGACGAGGAGCUUGCUCCUCUGACGUUAGCGGCGGACGGGUGAGUAACACGUGGAUAACCUACCUAUAAGACUGGGAUAACUUCGGGAAACCGGAGCUAAUACCGGAUAAUAUAUUGAACCGCAUGGUUCAAUAGUGAAAGACGGUUUUGCUGUCACUUAUAGAUGGAUCCGCGCCGCAUUAGCUAGUUGGUAAGGUAACGGCUUACCAAGGCAACGAUGCGUAGCCGACCUGAGAGGGUGAUAGGCCACACUGGAACUGAGACACGGUCCAGACUCCUACGGGAGGCAGCAGUAGGGAAUCUUCCGCAAUGGGCGAAAGCCUGACGGAGCAACGCCGCGUGAGUGAUGAAGGUCUUCGGAUCGUAAAACUCUGUUAUUAGGGAAGAACAAAUGUGUAAGUAACUAUGCACGUCUUGACGGUACCUAAUCAGAAAGCCACGGCUAACUACGUG